UACGUAGGGUGCGAGCGUUAAUCGGAAUUACUGGGCGUAAAGCGUGCGUAGGCGGCUUUGUAAGACGGAUGUGAAAGCCCCGGGCUCAACCUGGGAAGUGCAUUCGUGACUGCAAGGCUAGAGUGUGUCAGAGGGAGGUGGAAUUCCGCGUGUAGCAGUGAAAUGCGUAGAGAUGCGGAGGAACACCGAUGGCGAAGGCAGCCUCCUGGGAUAACACUGACGCUCAGGCACGAAAGCGUGGGGAGCAAAC
rnacentral:rRNA from 1 species